UGGGUGGGAGGUGGGCAAGCCACUCGCUUCUCAGAUUCGUUCCAAUUAGCACCAAGUUGGCAGACAAGCCCAUAAACCCACGAAGCCUUUGGUUUCCCCCAAGUCACAUUCUCGGUAUUUCAGAAUAGUCUGAUGGCCAGCAAACUUCAACUCCUGUCGUAGGUCAAAGAGGGACACGCUCUUAGCACCACCGUCUCGCAGCAGCGCGACCGAGAACACACCCGGGUGAUUUCCCCAACUGCAGAGCUCAAGUCCGCAUCUCCCCCGAGGCCGGCGGGGCCGGGCCGGGCCAGGCCGGGCCAGGCCUGCAGAGAGCCCCUCUGCGGGAGGGGCCGGACAGCGCGGCGAGACGCGGAUCACCGCGGGGCUGCACAAACGCACGCCCAUCCGAGGAGUUGUGCCAGGAACACAACCGUCUGCAUUGCGUCGGACCUGAGCAUUUCCAAUGUGAAAUUCCCGGGGAAGGUCGCGGCCGAGGAAUGUGCGCGUGCGGGGCUGUGGACCAGAAGGGGAGGAGAACUGGUGGUCGGCUUUUCGGGGCCGGAGAAGGAAAAAGCAGUGCUGGCAAGGGUUUCUGCUGAUCUAGCAGCGCCCAGAAAUGGACCGAGGGGACCCGCGCCGCACGCACCCUGCCCCACUCGGAGCUGCGAACGGCUCCCAGCGCUCCGCGUAGCCUCGCCGAGGUCCGCGCGCGGGGGUGUGCUGGAGGCGGAGGGGAAGACCCGCGAGCCAUGUAGAUCCAGGCCCUAGCUCACUCGCCUCCUUCGGGAUCGAAUCAAGGGCUCCCACGGUGCUGGGAGGGGGCGAAAGCGCUCCGUAUCGUCAUUCGCUUCAGAGCUCCGGAGAGGGUGGCAUUUUGCUCUUCCGCUCCGCAGCCUCCGGAACUCCCCGCACACACAGAGGGAGACAAGAGACAGAGUGGCGUCUCCAAGCUGCCGGCCACGGGUGAGCAUGGGGGUAGGGAAUGGACAUUUCCGCCGUAGCUGCCCAGUAAAGCAACUGGCCGACUGAAGGAAGCAGGACCAGGGGCGAGGGUGGCGCGCUGGCCCUGGCGCCCCUCGGAUGCUGCGGCUGCCGCGGCUCGCGCCAGGGUACCGCAAAGCCGACCUGCCGCAUUCCCACUCGGGCUCUCCGCCGACUCAGCACCUCCCCUGCGCCAAGUCGGCCGGCCAGGUAGGGGGGCUCCCCAGCUCGGGGCUGCAGAAGCGGGGCUCGGGGCGACGGGUGGGGGAAGCCGGGGGGUACGGAGAUGCUGUCUGGAUCCGGAGCUCCCCGCAGCGUCUCUCGGCGCUUUUCCGAUCUCUAGUUUAACCGAGUUGUAAACACAUUGGCGGUCGGGCAUUGCAUUGGGGAAAGUGGGGUAGAAGAGCCCCAAACUUGGACUUCGGGUGUCUGCGUGUGUCUGUCUGCGUGUCUGUGACUAGCCAAAGUCUCGUGCUUUCUGGAAAAAAAAAAAAAAGCUAAAGGUCUGUGCUCUUCCGUGUCUGUGGGUCCGUCCCAUGUGAACGCUUCCUGAUCUUCUGCCCCGUAUCACUUUCUAUUUUUCUGCAGCGUCCAUCGAUGGCCCCGGUGGGAGCUUAGAAGGCGGCAGGCGAAGAGGGCUAGGAGGGGGGAAGAGCCAAGGAGAAGCAGAAGGGGUGGCGGGCGAGGGGGUCCGCUGAGCCGGCUCCGCACCGGGUCCUAAGAGGGCUCGCGGAGGGGAGGGGAGGCCGGGGUCACCCCGAAGCCAUGGCCCGGUCCGCUAGGACGG
rnacentral:lncRNA from 1 species